ACAUGUUUAUCUUUCCCUACAUAAGCCUUAACACCUCCUUGAUGUGCAACACCGCCAUUUCCAGCUCUAUUCUCUCUUGCUCUUCUCUAAUUUUAUUGUUUUCUUGUGAAGUUUGAGUUGCGUUCUCCACCAAUUCUAACAACACAUUCGUCUUCAAACGUUUGCCCUCACUUAAUCUUUUCUUGCUCUCAAAUUGGUACAUCGAUGGUUACUAUCUCGAGUAAGUUGUUUAUGAAAUAAGCUAGGCAUUUCAUUUUUUCGUUUUCCAAAAUCCGACAAAUUAUGGUUAUUCUUGGAUUAUGCAUGGUUUAAUUUAAUUUUGCAAGCGCUUUUUAAUUUAAGUGUAUCCCACAAUUUUUGGGUGUUUCUUCACUACCUGUUAAAUGCACUUCAUCUAAUGCGCUUCAGAUACAAAUUGCAAAACCAAAGAGUAGAAGGCAAAGUCAGGGAAUUAAGGACCCAGAUAAUAUUAUGGAACAAAUUAUCAGGCGUGAGAUAAAGAGGAGUUCAAAAUUGAGACCGAUGGAAAACUUCAGCAAACCCAACUCUAAAUAUGAAUUUUGCCGUUGAAUUGUGAAAAUUGAUAUGCUUUAACAUGGAAAUACCUAAUUUAAUAGACUCUUUUUUUGAAUUCCAUCAUUCUAAUUUGUUUAACUGCAUUUUACAUUAUUGUAAAAUAGUGAAAUGGAUCUCUAUUGUUGUCGUCUUUCAUACUCCCUUGAUUCGUCACUUUUUUAAGUUGUUAAAGCGUCUAUAGAGUUUUCAUCAAAAUUCGAUGGAAGUAUACUUGGUAUUGUGUUCUGUAGCUUCUACUUGUGGCUCUUAGAUGACAACGACACAACAUAUAUUUGUGCUCGCGUACUUUCUUAUUUAGAUAUUUGAUGAUUGUUUUUUGGCCUCAUGUAUAUCAACUAAUAGCUAAAGCAAUUGAAGUUGUGAUGACGCCAAGCUGGAAGUGCCUUUGUUUUUGUCUACUCUAUAGUGAUUCUCUAGUGCCAUGACAAUUGUUGCGAUUUGAUCAAAAUUUUGGAUACAUUUUUGCUUCAGAAAUCUAACCACUCCUCGAUACAUAGAUCAUCGUGCCACAACACCACCGCUUGGUUUCCUUCUUCUCUAUAACACAGUGUCAGGUUUGGACGUAAAUUUCAUUGAUUUUUUUUUGUUAUGAAAUUUUUCGAUAAUGAAAGUUGAUCGUGUAACUUCAAUUUCCCAAUAUUGACACUGGCCAUUUCUAAAAAAUGUAUAACCUUCCAUUUUUCCUAAUUAAAAUGAGACUUUUUCUUUCUUUGUUAAUGGUGAGUGAAUUCAGCUGGCCAAAUAGUUCUGUUAUGCCGACUCAAAUAUGGUGGAAGCCUGAACACUAUAUGUGGGACUUAUAUCUCCGACAUGGUUUUCCAAUUCACAUGUGAUUGGUACUUCAAACUUGCUCUAUAUUGUCGUCAUUAUGUCUUUCUGAUGGAGUCCGGGUCUCAUCUGUCUCUUUGUAUUCAACGUCAAAUAUUUGAUAUAUUCUUUGGAACUCUUUCUUACUCUAUGUUCAUGAUGUUGAGUUGUGGAUUACUACUGAAUGCGGAAGAUUGCAUAUUAUUUUGACUCAACUAAAUGUCGCUGAAACUUUUGGAACUCAUGCUUGAUGAUAUUUGUUGAUGAUAUGCAUUUAGGUGCAAAUGGUCUGGAUGCUCCAAGGGAUUUUCUUGUUUCUGUUGUUGCCUGGUACAAAAAUGGCUCCCAUCCAUGUUACACUAAUUUACAGUAGUGUAGUGUUGAAUUACGCAUUGCGAAGUAGGACUUAUCUCCUUUUAUUGUGGUCGCUUGGCAUAACAAUUUUCUCCCUUAUAAGACGGAUCAUUGCUCGAAGUUUCUUCAUGCAUCCUCCGACGAUAAUCCAUGAGCUCUUCACAAUUUCGUAAUUCUUUUAUCCGUCUGACUCCUUUUAGCAGUCUUCAAGCUGCUUUUCCACCUUAGUUGCAAAGGAACUUUCUGAUUGUUGUAUAUACUUAUAUUGCCGGGGCUGCCUGUACUUGUGUGUGUGUGAGAGUGUGUGUAUGUCUAUAUAUCAUAAAUAUAUUCACGAUUAAUAUAUGUUAUUCAUAUUAAAUAACUUAUAAAAGUUCAUUCGGCUCUUUUCUCCA